ensembl:snoRNA small nucleolar RNA, C/D box 97
AUGCCCAAUGAUUAUAACAAGACGCGUUAUUACGAGGACUGGUGCUGGAACUCCCUUUCUAUCUUCUUCCAGUUCUUUACUUUUUCUCUCAAGUCCUCCUCUCCUUCUUGCACCCUUCUUUUUUCUCUCCCCCCCCCCAAACAUUCUUGGAGUUUCCAGUGUCCUGUGAGCAAGAUUAUGAGAUAUGAGGGCAA